rnacentral:rRNA from 1 species
GGGAAUCUGCCCUUUGGUUCGGAAUAACAGUUGGAAACGACUGCUAAUACCGGAUGAUGACGAAAGUCCAAAGAUUUAUCGCCAGAGGAUGAGCCCGCGUAGGAUUAGCUAGUUGGUGUGGUAAGAGCGCACCAAGGCGACGAUCCUUAGCUGGUCUGAGAGGAUGAUCAGCCACACUGGGACUGAGACACGGCCCAGACUCCUACGGGAGGCAGCAGUGGGGAAUAUUGGACAAUGGGCGAAAGCCUGAUCCAGCAAUGCCGCGUGAGUGAUGAAGGCCUUAGGGUUGUAAAGCUCUUUUACCCGGGAUGAUAAUGACAGUACCGGGAGAAUAAGCUCCGGCUAACUCCGUGCCAGCAGCCGCGGUAAUACGGAGGGAGCUAGCGUUGUUCGGAAUUACUGGGCGUAAAGCGCACGUAGGCGGCUUUGUAAGUUAGAGGUGAAAGCCUGGAGCUCAACUCCAGAAUUGCCUUUAAGACUGCAUCGCUCGAAUCCAGGAGAGGUGAGUGGAAUUCCGAGU